GCUAUAAUAGUUUAAUAAAAAUAUUAAUUUUGUAAAUUAAUGAUAAAUAUAUUUUUAUAGCUC
rnacentral:tRNA from 1 species